rnacentral:rRNA from 1 species
GAUGAACGCUGGCGGCGUGCCUAAUACAUGCAAGUCGAGCGAACGGACGAGGAGCUUGCUUCUCUGAUGUUAGCGGCGGACGGGUGAGUAACACGUGGAUAACCUACCUAUAAGACUGGGAUAACUUCGGGAAACCGGAGCUAAUACCGGAUAAUCUUUUGAACCGCGGGGUUCAAAAGUGAAAGACGGUCUUGCUGUCACUUAUAGAUGGAUCCGCGCUGCAUUAGCUAGUAGGUAAGGUAACGGCUUAUCAAGGCAACGAUGCAUAGCCGACCGGAGAGGGUGAUCGGCCACACUGGAACUGAGACACGGUCCAGACUCCUACGGGAGGCAGCAGUAGGGAAUCUUCCGCAAUGGGCGAAAGCCUGACGGAGCAACGCCGCGUGAGUGAUGAAGGUCUUCGGAUCGUAAAACUCUGUUAUUAGGGAAGAACAUAUGUGUAAGUAACUGUGCACAUCUUGACGGUACCUAAUCAGAAAGCCACGGCUAACUACGUG